GCCACUGUACAUCAUUACAGACCUUUAAGCAAAAGAAAUCUAGUGGGAACGUGCAGGAUGGAUUCUUGAUAAAGAUGGGACCCAAGAAGAAGGGUGUAAGCAUCUCAGUGUCAUUCACUCAGCAUCUUUUUUUUUUUGCGGUACGCGGCUCUCUCACUGUUGUGGCCUCUCCCGUUGCAGAUCACAGGCUCCAGACGCGCAGGCUCAGCGGCCAUGGCUCAUGGGCCCAGCCGCUCCGCGGCAGGUGGGAUCUUCCCGGACCGGGGCACGAACCCACAUCCCCUGCAUCGGCAGGCGGACUCUCAACCACUGCACCACCAGGGAAGCCCCACUCAGCAUCUUUUUAUACCUGCAUCAUGCAGACACAGCAAUGCAAAGCAGGAUAUACAAGCUCAGGUAUGUUAUUAAUUAUACUGCAUCCCACACAUCAACAUACUUAAAAACUGCAAAGAGCUUUAGAGAUUAUUUAUGGUAGAGCUGAGACAGGAAUCCAGGGCUCCAAUUCUCAGUCAGUACAUGUCCCGGUAUAUGCACUGCUGCUCCAAGGGGGUCACAAUGUAGAGUUCAUAGAACCCCAUUAAGCCCCCAUAACUGAUAUCAACAUAACAGAGCCAAUGUAAACUCAGAGCUUUUAGGACAACUCUGACUGUGAGCCUCAGUUGCCACUUCAUCCAAUACAAAACUUAGUCACCCCCUGAUUUCCACCUGCUCUUAGAAUACACAACUCUUUUCCCAACAUGUGACCAUACUUUGCUUAGCUUUGUUGCCUGGUUGUUCGUCAGUCCCCAUGCCAGCCCUGUGAAUAACAGCCUCCAAUGAUGAAUUCAGACGACAGGUAACUUGUCUCCUGCUUUGCAUCACAGGCAUUCUAAAGAGACACCCCCAUGGUCUUAAUUCCUGGAAAACAAUCAUUUCCACUGUACAACAUUCAAAACCCAAGGGAGGCAGUUUGGUAAUUUAGCAUUUUUGUUUCAUGUGAAAAUAUUAUUUCUAGUUUAUAAU
rnacentral:lncRNA from 1 species